UCCCCCCUCUCGCGCCGGAUCCAUAGCUCUUCUCCCUCCCUUCUCUCUCUCGAGCUGCCUUCAGGGUGCAGGAUUCUUCCAUGAUCUGGAACCUCCACUAUUUUGCCUCUCCGAUCUUAGAUUCGUCUCGAAGGGAGGCGGCGGAUUCCGGGGUAGCUACAGGGUUCAGGUUGUGUUGCUUUUCUCCAUCUAGCACACGAGCACCUUACAAACAUAUCCAAAUCUCAGCAUGGCCGUAGUGAGAUUAGUCGUGGCCAUGGUUUGGAUUUAGCCCGUUUCUCUGCUUCAGCCUUUGUGGUCAUGGUUUGGAUUUCUGCAGAGAUUAUCCUUAUUAGUUAUGUAAGGUUGGAUGAUGUGUAUAGUGUAUUAUCCUUAUUAGUUCUUGCUUUUUUAAAUUCCUUGAUGUGGCAUCAUAAUUAAGUAUUCUGCAAUUUAUUGUUAUGUACUGCUCCUGUUGAAAUAUUAUUCAGUUCACCAAUGUGUGGUCACAUUUUUCAGGGAUUUGGACACCUUUCAUUAAUUACAUACCCUUGCUGCUAAUAUGCUUGUUGGUGAGUUUUAUCUAUUGUUGCAUUCUUUCUGAUAAGUGGUAAAGGACAUGAAAAUUGCUUGCUACUGAGUUUUAUCUGUUGUUGUAUUCUUUUUGUUAAGUGGUGAAGGGCAUGAAAAUUGCUUGCUGGUGAGUUUUAUCUGCUAUUGCAUUUUCUGUUGGGUGAUAUAUAUCAUGAAAAUUGUGGAUCAAACACAAACUAAUUUGUGAGGUCGUACAUAGUUUACCAUGCUGUGUCUGUGGCAGUUUUGUCAUUCUUUGCCUGCGAACUAAAUAGUUCCUCCUCUAACUUCGUUAGCAGUUGCCUACUUGCUGGUAUGGUUACUGGAAUAGAGAAAUCCAAGGAAAAGUUAUGUCUUCUGUAGUCACAUUAAAAUGCACCUCAUACUGUAGAUAAACUUUAUAAUUUAAUCAUACAGUUUAAGCUAACAUACUGAGUUCUGCAUUGCAGUCUUUCAGGUAUAUUUGUACAAUAUGGCUGAAAGGAAGUAAAAGUAACAGCAUUGUUCUGUUGAUGAAAAAAUAGCUAGCUACAUGGUCUUUCAGAAUGUCGUUGCCAUGAGUUAGUUGGAUUGUCGGAUCUUCUUGUUGAUAAUGUUUGACACCAAAGACGACCGUGUCCUGUGAAGUCAGCUAGCUACAUUGGCAAACUGCUCUUUCUCCAUGGUAACAUGGACUGAACACUCGGCAGGCCACAUGUGCAAAUUUGGAGACCAUUGUGCAAGUUUGGCAAUUUAUUUUUAGGAAUAACAUUAUGGCAAUUUUAUCGAGCCCUCAAGCAUGUUUACUUCAUUAGGUCGUACCUAGCCUACCAGUACCAGCGUAUUAGAAUUUUGCUAGCACAGUUUGAAAACCAUGUGUGUGCAGGUUUGCCAAAUCAAGAUUGCAAAGGCUGCUGCUUACAUAUAUGGUCUGGAGCGGUAGAGCAGCCUGAGCUAUGCAUGGGCUGUAUGGUGGCAUGCUGCUACUUAUUUCUUGCAAGAAUCUGUAGGUUGAACUAUUCGUCUGAACUAACCAAGGGUUUUGUUUAAACUAUAAGUAUGGUUUUAUGGUUCUAUUUUUAUAUCUUACCUAUAUUGUUUCCCUGGUUAUUGGACCAUGAAUUCUCUUUCAUUUGAAAUCCAUGAAAUCUAAUUAGUUUUACUACGGUAUUCUAUACUAAUACAGUACAGAUCAGCUCCAUGUAGACUGUUGUCCUUUUCAUGUCCUAUGUUUUAAAUAGUGUUUGUAGUGGCACAGGAAUAGAUCCUGCAAUAGGCUCUUGAUGCUAAUCAACUGAUAGUUAUCGAGUACCUGCUCACUACUCUGGCAUUUGUGAGGUUACAAAUGACUUUCCAUCGGUAUCCUGCAAUAGAAAUCUUGUGGGGGCUUACCAUUUUGUAGCAUCUGCAAUAACUAGAGGAGUCUUCAAUGUGUCUCAAGAUCUUUCUUCACCAUCUGAUAGUGAUGGCCAUGGGCUGCUAUGAUGACCAGUUAUUCGGACGUCGCUCUGCCUGGCACGGUCUCUUGGCCUCUUGUGUUCUUACCACAAUGAUGGACUGUUGGUGACUGGUCAUGGUAACUGAUAAAGAGCGCCCUUUCGUAGUAUGUUCUUUCUGGUGGUGCUACCCCUGGUACUGGGGGACUGGGGAGGGCCUUUUGCAGUAUAUUCUUUCUGAUAAAGAGCGCUCUCUCCUGAGAAGUCUGUUUUGUCGCUGGAGUGCAAACCAGCAGGUGCUUCCAUGUUUGCUUCUUUGCAAAUCAAAAUAAGCCGCCCUUGUAUUUUACUUCUAAAAUCUUAACCUAGAAUAAUUUUGACUUCUUUUUUACUUCUGAAAUCUGCACUAUACUUGUUUUACUUCUUUUUUGGUUCAUCAUUUUUUUGUUUUGCUCAUGAGGCUUGUUCAUUAGGUGUUAAUUAUACUAUUUUGUUUCAGAUAUGAACAUAUUGUUUUUGACUUAGAAUCACGCAGAGAACUCAUUACACCCAUCUAUUCUCUGAAAACAAAUAUCAUUUCUAAGUAUCCAAAUACAGAAAAUAGGAGAUGCAGAAAUCACAUUUAGCAUACCAUUUUUUCUGUUGCUUAACCAAAAUUUUCCUAUAUGGUAAGGGAAGCCCAGAUUUGAGCUGUCGUCACACACUCAAAGAUCAUUACUAUUGGUUUUUCAGUAGCCUUAUGUUUGCACUUUGAAUUUCAGUUUUCUAGAUUCUUUUUAAUGGUUACCGUGUCUUUUAACAUGCCAAAACCAAUAUGAACUGCACUAGAUUGCAUGAUAGACACAGGAAAAAAUAUCAAUAUAAAAAAGAUAUUUUUUGCGCCUUCUGUAAGUUACAUUUUACUAGAUGGUAGUAUAAUUAAAAUUUGAAUACUAUACAUCAAUCUAAAGUUUGUACAUGAUGUUCAGUUCUAACGUUUGUUUUGUGGAUCACAUAGUUAAAUUAUUGUAUUCUUUUUUUGCUUUACUGUGAUUUAGAGUUGAAGUGACAUACUAUGAUUCAAAUACACGCCAACUUUUUGUGAUUCAGAAGAAGACAUAUUGCGAUUCAGAAGAAGAAAACGCUAGGGAAUUUUUUCAUUGUUACUGGCCUUUUUGUAGAGGUUUUAUCUCACUGUCCCGCAUGGUGGUUUAUUUUCUUUGCUUCUCAUCAACUGCAGUAUGGAAUUAAAUAACCACAUGAAGAUAGCAAAGAAGGCUUGCAGAGUAGUAUUUUCUUUUGCACUUUUGGAUCUUCUUUUUACAAAAAGUUGGGUGCACUCUUGUAAUAGGCAAACAGUGCACAGUUUAGUCAUUCAGUUUUUGAGAAUCAUAAAUUUAUUGCAUUUUGGAUAACUAGAUACGUUUAACUUGGUAAGCAAUGUUAGUACAUGCAUGCAUGGUACCUUGUGUCAUGAAAACAUAGUAUCUAUAGUACCAUACCAUUACUUUCUCUAGAAGUUUGUUUCCAAAACCACAACCAAUUUCAGUCUCUAAGCAGCCAAGUCUCAGUUUGCAUGUGAAGUGAAUCUUCUGUGCCAUGGGAGCAUAAUCAGAAGCUCCACUGCUUGUAACCUGAAAUAGUUUAAUCUUUUUCUGCUUUGUACAUUUUUUAAAGUUGAUCUGACAGUGUCAAUAACUGAAUAUUGUGUUCCUUGGAGCAGUACAUAAAUAUGAAGACUCAGAAGAUCUCCAAACUUCUUAGUAAGCGAUUUACAACACCGGUUUGGAUUAAGCACAAGGAACCGAGGGAAGUGAACAUGUUUGUUGAUCUACUACUUCUUGAGGUUUGUUCAGUUCCUUUUUCUAUUGCAUUAUGUCUACUUCUAAUGCUACUAUGGAUACAAAUUCAUAAUUGAGCAUGCAGUUCCAUGCCAGUUUAGGUAUUGGAGUCUACUUUCAGAAACAUGAGUUCUUUUAGGCUAUCUUCGCGGCGUGCGUGGGAGCGGCAAGUCCGACCGCGAGGGCUUCUACGCCUCCGCACUCUGGCUCCACGCGCGGCACCCACGCACGCUGGCCCUCAACGCUGCACCCUCGCCGACUUUGGCUACCUCAAGGACCUCCCCGAGCUGCUCCACCGAAUCGUGCAUGGCGGUGUGUCCACCAGGACCCCAGGCAAGAAGGCACGCCUAACCACCAGUGCAGCUGGGGCCGGGGCCGCGUCUGCUUUGGCAACCGUACGCGUCGCAGCCGCGCGGAACGGGCCACGCGCGUCGGCUCAACGGAGGAGCGUGCCGCGGCUAGCCUGGAGCGCGACUGGGGACUCGCGGCCGCGGCCGUGGUGGCGCGCCGGACUAGGAGAGCAGAGGCCGCUGCGAGGGCGGUCGAGAUGUACAGUAAGUCAGUAACGACCCCGCCUACUGGGACAGUUAAAUCAGUAACACCCAUACAUUCCUUAUCCUAUGCAAACGGGACAGUUCAAACUCCAGUAAGUUAAUGGGCGCCUUUUAUUUGAUCUAUUGAUUGUUGCAGAAUGGAUGCAUUAUUUCACUGUUUCCUUUCUAAAGCUUUCCAUCUCAUCUGUUAUCUGUCAUUUAUAUUUAUUACAUAGGAAAUUAUUUGUUUGAGUUAUGUUUAUGCCAUCUGUCUCCUCAAAGCAGAUAAGAUUUUCUUUUUGAUUGGGUUAUGUUGUGAGACAUCAGGUGCUGGUGGUACAGCGACAGAUAAAUCAAAUAAAAAUAAGCGGAAGGCUCCCCUCAAGAGAUCAAAAGGAAGCUUAGGUAGUCUGGAUGUUGUUGCAGUAAAAAAUAACAAGUCACCGGCAAAGCCUUCAACUUCUUCCUCCAAUGAAGGUUCUUCACAAAGUGAGAGUGGAAGCGGGAGUUCUGAAG